rnacentral:lncRNA from 1 species
CCGGAGGGCCCAAGGCAGGAUGCCGGUGCCGUUGAUGUAAGGAAGGUCGGAAAGCCCUAGUUUGGGGUAUCGCGGAAUCGAUGUUCGGAAGGUUAGAGGAGCUCAGGGUAGGGUGUCGCGGAGUUGACAGUGAGAGGGACUGUGUGCCUCCAAGUUCGGAGUGGUGGGGUUGACGUCGGCAGGGUCGAAGUGCGCUGGGGGCUGAUCACCC